rnacentral:rRNA from 1 species
GCGCAGCAGGCGCGAAUCUUCCACAAAUGGGGGAAACCCUGAUGGAGCGACGCCGCGUGCGGGAUGAAGGCCCUAUGGGUUGUAAACCGCUGUUCAGUGGAAAGAACAUCCUCCGGCUGAAUAGGUCGGAGGCCUGACGUUACCACUGGCAGAAAGUCCCGGCAACUCCGUGCCAGCAGCCGCGGUAAUACGGGGGGACGAGCGUUGUCCGGAAUCAUUGGGCGUAAAGGGCGCGUAGGCGGCGAGG